GGGACACUCAGGUCCCCGUGAUUCCGUCCACACUGAACAGUUCUCUGAAAUCCAGAUGUGUCCCUAGUAAGCAGAUGACCACCCUAUGUCAAGGUAAGGAGGGAAGAUACUGCCCCUAGGAAAGCAGCGGGAAAGCAGCCACCAGCAGAUGAGGUGGUCUCACUGUAGGCUCCCCUCAUGCCUGAGGCCUCACCUAGCAGCUCAGUAGCCUUCCAACUGUCAGUCUGUCCAGGGAUUAACAUUUCUCUCUUCUGAUUUCCACAAACUAAGGGAGUCUUACAUUUCCGCCUUGUUAGGCAUUUGAUGGAAUUGAAAGCAUUGUCAAACACUUCCUAAGUAUUGUAACAGCCGUUGAGAGUUAUCUUUCAUCUGUUGAAAGGGAACCCUCGUCACAGGCCUUGAUGAACUUGGUAUUAAUAUGUAGCACCAUACAUUGUAUCAGUUAGGUUGCUGAGCUGGUGUUAGAGUAACCAACUGCUAAAAUCGGAGUAUUUAAUUCUCCAGCCUAGAGAUGUUGGUAGAGAUGCUCGCAGGAGCUGUCUGUGCCUGCCUCUGAGCAGCAGGGAGAGCAGCCACAGAACCGAGCCCAUCACACCCAGUGCCUUAGUUUUUAAC
rnacentral:lncRNA from 1 species